rnacentral:rRNA from 1 species
CUAAUACAUGUUUGUCGAACGAAACUUUCUUACACCGAAUGUUUGCAUUCACCGUAAGAAGUUGAGUGGCGGACGGGUGAGUAACACGUGGGUAACCUGCCUAAAAGAAGGGGAUAACACUUGGAAACAGGUGCUAAUACCGUAUAUCUCUAAGGAUCGCAUGAUCCUUAGAUGAAAGAUGGUUCUGCUAUCGCUUUUAGAUGGACCCGCGGCGUAUUAACUAGUUGGUGGGGUAACGGCCUACCAAGGUGAUGAUACGUAGCCGAACUGAGAGGUUGAUCGGCCACAUUGGGACUGAGACACGGCCCAAACUCCUACGGGAGGCAGCAGUAGGGAAUCUUCCACAAUGGACGCAAGUCUGAUGGAGCAACGCCGCGUGAGUGAAGAAGGUCUUCGGAUCGUAAAACUCUGUUGUUAGAGAAGAACACGAGUGAGAGUAACUGUUCAUUCGAUGACGGUAUCUAACCAGCAAGUCACGGCUAACUACGUGCCAGCAGCCGCGGUAAUACGUAGGUGGCAAGCGUUGUCCGGAUUUAUUGGGCGUAAAGGGAACGCAGGCGGUCUUUUAAGUCUGAUGUGAAAGCCUUCGGCUUAACCGGAGUAGUGCAUUGGAAACUGGAAGACUUGAGUGCAGAAGAGGAGAGUGGAACUCCAUGUGUAGCGGUGAAAUGCGUAGAUAUAUGGAAGAACACCAGUGGCGAAAGCGGCUCUCUGGUCUGUAACUAACGCUGAGGUUCGAAAGCGUGGGUAGCAAACAGGAUUAGAUACCCUGGUAGUCCACGCCGUAAACGAUGAAUGCUAGGUGUUGGAGGGUUUCCGCCCUUCAGUGCCGUAGCUAACGCAAUAAGCAUUCCGCCUGGGGAGUACGACCGCAAGGUU